GGGCCGGUAGCUCAGGCGGUAGAGCAACGGACUUUUAAUCCGCUGGUCGUGGGUUCGAUUCCCACCCGGCCUA
rnacentral:tRNA from 1 species